ACUUAUGAAUAAUAUUUGAUUUGAAAUCAAGUUAAUUGCUUUUAGUAGCAACAUAGGUU
rnacentral:tRNA from 1 species